rnacentral:rRNA from 1 species
AAAGGAAUUGACGGGGACCCGCACAAGCGGUGGAGCAUGUGGUUUAAUUCGAAGCAACCCGAAGAACCUUACCAAGGCUUGACAUCUCUCUGACCGGUAUAGAGAUAUACCCUUCCUUCGGGACAGAGAUGACAGGUGGUGCAUGGUUGUCGUCAGCUCGUGUCGUGAGAUGUUGGGUUAAGUCCCGCAACGAGCGCAACCCUUAUUUUUAGUAGCCAGCGGCUCGGCCGGGCACUCUAGAAAGACUGCCGUGGAUAACACGGAGGAAGGCGGGGACGACGUCAAAUCAUCAUGCCCCUUAUGUCUUGGGCUACACACGUGCUACAAUGGCUGUAACAAAGUGACGCAACGCAGCGAUGCCGAGCAAACCACAAAAAAGCAGCCCCAGUUCGGAUUGUAGUCUGCAACCCGACUACAUGAAGUUGGAAUCGCUAGUAAUCGCAAAUCAGCAUGUUGCGGUGAAUACGUUCCCGGGUCUUGUACACACCGCCCGU